CUUUCUUUCUUUCUGUCUGUCUUUCUUCGUGCAUGGGUAUUGGAAAUAGUUAAACCACACUGUUGAAAGUUUCUGUAAAUACAUAAUUUUAUCGCUUUUAUUGAUUACAUAAUUCCGACUUCUCAAAAUGACAGAAGAAAAUGAGAUUCCUCACGAACUAUAUACCCUUCCUCCAAUAAAUAUAUAAACACGACACUGUAGUAUGAGUAUAUAUCAUAAACAUUAUGAUAAUAUAAUCCAGGAAGAAAUACAUGUAGUACAAGGGCGUCGAAACGUACAUACACUGCAACACCGUAGGUGUUCACUCAACACCAUUUGAGAAUCUACAUCUGUCCACAUCCGAAAGGUGUUGAAAACCCCUUGUUCAGGAUCAACCCGGUGUCGUUUUAGCACCAUCCGGUGUUAGCCCAAAUCCCAAAUGGUAUCGUUUUAACACUUCCUGGUGUGGAUAGAUAUAGAUUAUCGUUUGGUGUUGGAUUGACACCUAAGUUUUUGCGGUGUAUAAUUAAUCAAGAUGAAACAGUUCGAUUAUAUUACACUUCCUACCACAGUAUACAGUACAGAUUCCUUUUCAAAAAAAUAAAGUUUAUUGAUGGCAAAAUAGAACCAUUCAAGAGAUACUGUACAUUAUAUUGUACAUCAUUAUGAAAAGUCAAGUUUGAGAUCAGGAUGAGGGGGAUAUGAACAAAUAACGUACAGGCAGCACCGUUAGAAUUGUGAAUUUGUAUGGUAAGCCUUCUUUCUCGAGUUCAUCACAUAAUUUAGUAGUUUUCACGAGCGUGUUUCUGGGUUGAUAAUCAGGGUUUAUUGCCACACACCGCUAAAAUUUACUGUCAAAAGGCGUUAUGUCAAAUUAUGUCUCACCGUUCUCACGUACAUCUCAGCGAAUAAUAUUGAUCAAAUUAUCAAAUUGCCACUUCUCUACUUAGGUUUCCCAAAUCCGUCCAAUAUCCAUUUGGUCUAUUACCAGUUGGUCUACUUACUAAGAAAGAACAAGCGGUAGUACACCAAGGGAGAAGUAGAAAAAAUUGGUUUUUAGACGGACUCCGGAAGAAAACGAGCACCCCCCAAAAAAAAAAAUCAACUAGAAUGAAAAGAUAUGUCAAAAAGGGCACUUUUCAUUUGUGACCUUUAAACAAAGGUCAUCUCAUCUCGUGAGGUGAAUGUAGACCUGGCAGGAUUUUCCCCUUAAAAAGCAGAAGCUCGUAACAGCUGCCCUGCUGAAACCAGUGAAUAUUACGCUGCAUUUUGUAUUUUAUUUUAGGGGGAGGGGGUAAUAAAAAAACAGGAAAAUGCUUGGAGGAUUAUCGAAAAAGUACUAUAAACUCAAACAAAGUUUAACAAAGUUAAACAAUUUUCACACAUCUAGAUUAUGCACACUCAAAGUCAUGAAGUAUUAAGAAUCAACACUUUCAGAAGUUACUUGGAGAGAGAAAUUCAAAAGCAUUAAGUUGAGCACCUUAAAAUAAAGCAUCACAAACCAGAGUUGAAAUAGAUUCCAUUUAGCAUGAAUUCAAAGAAUAAUUUGUUUCUCUGAGUAAACGUUACAUUUAUGAUUAGGUUUAACCAUGAAUGGUAUAAUUUCAUUAUUUUUUUCUACUCUUUGAAGGCAAAUGCAGAACUUUCAAUCAUGACCGGACGCGAUUUUUGCAUAGGUAGCGAUUUUUUCCUGUCAGUACUUGUGUGUAACCGAGAGGGCAAGCAUAUCGUAGCUUUUUCAUGAAUACUUUAUGGAAAUGACGAUAUAAUAGUGAAAAAAAUACAAGACCAAAAUUUGUAGUCUGAUUCAAAGCCUCCCAAGCAGUUGUGUGCACAAGUACUGACCGAAAGAAAUCGCUACCUGGACGUUCUUGAGGUGCUCGGAAAAUGAUUAUUUCCCCUUGUAUACGAUCACUUUCUCAUGCAGUUUUAAGCUUUAAUUUACACACUUUAUUCCGUUUAGUUUGUGGUGCUCUCAGCUGACUUCCAAUUUAAAGUAAUAUGACUAUCAUCAUCAUCAUCAUCAUAGUCAUCAUUGCCAUCACCAUCAUCGAAACUAUCACCACCGCAAUCAUUUCUGAUAUCACUGUCUUCAUGACGAUCAUUGAAAAUCAUAUCCAGCAUAAUUACCAUCAUCACAAUCAACAGUGUCAUCAUCAUCAUAUCAUCAUCACCCCUGCUCCCUCAUCAUUGUCGCCUUCAAUUAAUCAUCAUCUCCUCUAUUAUUUAGAUCCUGCGCUAACAAACAUCCUUAGUCACUUCAACCAUCCUGCCUGUGGGGAAUCUACAGGUAGGAAUAUAGUAUGCCAAUGCUGUACAUAACA
rnacentral:lncRNA from 1 species